rnacentral:lncRNA from 1 species
AAGAUAGUAGAGAAGCAGCAACAGAAGGCUCGAAGAGAAGAAAUUCCACCUGUGGACCACAGCUCUGGCCAGUGCCUAUGGAGUUCCAUCCUGCUCAUGAUCUUCUCUUCCUAUCUGUUGGUGCUCCAGGUGGUGGUGAUGAGACAGCAUGGAUCUGGGGAGAUGAAAAACUGAGAAUCUGAAAGCUUUGUACAUUGCCCUUGGUCCCAUGCUAUUUCCCCAUUUGUCUUCGUCUCUAUCAAUAAUGUGUCCCUCAUUAUCAUCUAGUCUCUACCCGUAGUAAGGUCCUCCUGCAUCCACAAUACCCCAGUCCCCUCAAACAAGUCCCCAGCCCCUUCAAGUUCAGUUUGUGUCAUCCUGUUUGGGUUAGUUUAAGCCACCAGACACUCUGCUGUCAUCCCACAGCCUGAUGGGGCCCGACCAUACACUCUUUCCAUCCUACCUUCUGGAGAGUGGUUUUCUCAAUGAAGUAAUGAAUAAUUCAGAAGUCUAAGAAGAGAAAAGCUUUAAGGAAUGAAAAAUUAGGAAAAUAUUCGAUCCAGUUAACUUAUUCCAGAUCCAGACCAUUGACUGCAUAUUUAUAGACAGUGAACAAACCCCAAGUGAC